UUGGAAGUAAAAAUCGUAACAAGGUCUCCGUAGGUGAACCUGCGGAGGGAUCAUUACACAAAUAUGAAGGCGGGCUGGAACCUCUCGGGGUUACAGCCUUGCUGAAUUAUUCACCCUUGUCUUUUGCGUACUUCUUGUUUCCUUGGUGGGUUCGCCCACCACUAGGACAAACAUAAACCUUUUGUAAUUGCAAUCAGCGUCAGUAACAAAUUAAUAAUUACAACUUUCAACAACGGAUCUCUUGGUUCUGGCAUCGAUGAAGAACGCAGCGAAAUGCGAUAAGUAGUGUGAAUUGCAGAAUUCAGUGAAUCAUCGAAUCUUUGAACGCACAUUGCGCCCUUUGGUAUUCCAAAGGGCAUGCCUGUUCGAGCGUCAUUUGUACCCUCAAGCUUUGCUUGGUGUUGGGCGUCUUGUCUCUAGCUUUGCUGGAGACUCGCCUUAAAGUAAUUGGCAGCCGGCCUACUGGUUUCGGAGCGCAGCACAAGUCGCACUCUCUAUCAGCAAAGGUCUAGCAUCCAUUAAGCCUUUUUUCAACUUUGACCUCGGAUCAGGUAGAU
rnacentral:rRNA from 1 species